rnacentral:rRNA from 2 species
AUUGAACGCUGGCGGCAGGCUUAACACAUGCAAGUCGAGCGGGGGAAGGUAGCUUGCUACCGGACCUAGCGGCGGACGGGUGAGUAAUGCUUAGGAAUCUGCCUAUUAGUGGGGGACAACAUCUCGAAAGGGAUGCUAAUACCGCAUACGUCCUACGGGAGAAAGCAGGGGAUCUUCGGACCUUGCGCUAAUAGAUGAGCCUAAGUCGGAUUAGCUAGUUGGUGGGGUAAAGGCCUACCAAGGCGACGAUCUGUAGCGGGUCUGAGAGGAUGAUCCGCCACACUGGGACUGAGACACGGCCCAGACUCCUACGGGAGGCAGCAGUGGGGAAUAUUGGACAAUGGGGGGAACCCUGAUCCAGCCAUGCCGCGUGUGUGAAGAAGGCCUUAUGGUUGUAAAGCACUUUAAGCGAGGAGGAGGCUACUUUAGUUAAUACCUAGAGAUAGUGGACGUUACUCGCAGAAUAAGCACCGGCUAACUCUGUGC